GACGUAGGGCGCGAGCGUUGUCCGGAUUUAUUGGGCGUAAAGAGCUCGUAGGCGGUUUGUCGCGUCGUUCGUGAAAACUCACAGCUUAACUGUGAGCUUGCGGUCGAUACGGGCAGGCUAGAGUUCGGUAGGGGAGACUGGAAUUUCCGGUGGAGCGGUGAAAUGCAUUGAGAUCGGAAAGAACACCAACGGCGAAAGCACUCUGCUGGGCCGACACUGACACUGAGAGACGAAAGCUAGGGGAGCAAAUGG
rnacentral:rRNA from 1 species